ACGAAUACUGGGAUACUGGGAUGCGAGGAGGAUGGGGAUGCAACCUAUAGGACCGAGCAAUGUCUUAAGCGCUGCCUUUGCUCGGGUUUCCCGCUGCCGCCACCGCCACCGGGAUGCUUUCUAUGUGCCAGGAGGUUUUGCACUUCCUGCAGUAGAGCUUCUUCUUGCUGAGCUCCAUGCCACGGUAGAGCCGGCAGCCACAGACGUGGCAGUGCCUGUGGAUGAGGAGAUGCUCGCGCAACGAAGGUCCGGUCGCACUGGGCGCAGCGGAAGGGCCAGUCCUCGGCGUGGGUGCGCUUGUGCUCCUGCAGCGCCAGCGAGUCCGUGAAGUAGACGUUGCACUCCAGGCAGCGGCGCACCUGGCCCGGCCCGUGGCUCUGCUGGUGGUGGUCGAAGCUGGCCGCGUCCGAGAAGCUGCAGUUGCAGAUGGAGCAGUGGAGGGGCCAGUCCAGGAGGUGGACGCGCUUGUGCACCGCCAGGGCCUUCUGGCUGGAGAAGCACAGGUUGCAGUGGUCGCAGUGCAGCUGGAUCCCUUGCAGGUGCACCAGCAUGUGCUGCGAGAGCUGGCCCUGGAAGGCGAAGCUGCGGUUGCACUCCGUGCAGUGGAACUUGCGCUUGCGGCUGUACUGGUGGUCGCCCAGCGUCUCCCGGUUGGACACGCUCUGGUUGCACAUGCCGCAGUGCGCCAGGCAGCCCUGCACCUCCGCAUCCUUGGGCUCGGGGUCCUUCCCGCACGACGACUCGGAAGACCCCGUCGGCGGGACCUCGCCCUGCUCUGCGGCGGACCUUGCGAGAUGCCGGCUGUGGUCUGCUGCGGAAAGGGGAGGAAAACCAUCUUGAGCAACGACUGGGACCAUGGCAGGCAGGCACGGGACAACUUGGACCUCCCUCGAGGUGUUUUGGACUUCAACUCCCACAAUUUCUAA
rnacentral:lncRNA from 11 species